UACGUAGGGUGCGAGCGUUGUCCGGAAUUAUUGGGCGUAAAGAGCUCGUAGGCGGUGUGUCGCGUCGGCCGUGAAAACCUGCAGCUUAACUGUGGGCUUGCGGUCGAUACGGGCAUCACUGGAGUUCGGCAGGGGAGACUGGAAUUCCUGGUGUAGCGGUGAAAUGCGCAGAUAUCAGGAGGAACACCGAUGGCGAAGGCAGGUCUCUGGGCAUUAACUGACGCUGAGGAGCGAAAGCAUGGGGAGCGAACAGG
rnacentral:rRNA from 1 species